CGAACACAUGUCAGACAAGUAAAUUUUUUUAAAACUUUUCUCCUAUGAUCCAACACUUGUAAUUAAAUCAAUGUAAAGACAGAUUUGUACAAACUAACUAAACAUACUAGUCCUGUAUAUACCACCAACAUUUAUUGAGUUAGACACUUUUAUAUAGCCCUAGAAACUAUCAGUUGUUUUCCAACAGAAAGAAGCUUAUAAAACAGUUUAAAAUUGAGGAUUAAUAAAAUUCUCUUUUGUGAGGAAGUCUGGCAUUCUUGGUAUGUAGACAAUUUGAAGAAUGAACAAGUACUGUGUGUGACACAUCAUCAGACGCAUCUUAGUUCUUCCCUUUUAAAUUUGAACUUAGAUUACCAGAUGUUAAUUACGCAGAAGCCUAAGCAAAAUGAUGUGGAAAACAUCGGACAGGAAGGAAAAUUACAUUUUAAUUCCACACAUUAAGUUCAAGAAACCUAAAGUAUGAGACCAAAAGAAGCCUAGCCCAGUCCCAUCUAACUUGCUCAAAAUCCUGCGCUGGGUGAACAGAUUCGCCCCAGUGCCUACAGAGAACUAGUCACUUCAGUCUAGGAUGAAAAACAAUUUAAACGUUUAGCUGUCUGUGCCUUUGGCAUUAAGAAGCAUUACAUACAGAUGAUACAUCAGGAAUUUGGGUGUUUUCCCAACUGCUACAAAGCAGGCAUCGCUAUCAGCCCAGGAUCCAGAGCCCUACAGCCUUCCCGGCAGGGAAGUGCCAGCCAGGUGGCAGCUUUCCAGAAAUGAAGCUUCAAGGGGCUACUGCUUGUCAGCUGUGCUGCAGUAACGUCCUGUGGGAAAACCUCUCCUUUACCUCGUGCAGAUUUGACAGUAGCCGUAUGUGUUACUGAAGACAAAGGGAAGACCUAAUUGCUGAAGUCAUAACGAUGUGGCCUCUUCUGAUACAUCUUCUGCCAGAUGCUUUGCUCCUUUUCAGGAGCCUGUUCCAUCUUCAGACAAGUACACAGAGAAGACAAAGAGGUGAUGGCAGAAUUUUAAAUUGAAAUCAGGGCUUUGACUACAUCAAAAGCAAAAGACUUUUUUUUCCUACUGCUUAUGCCUAUUGUUUAUAUUUUGACUCAAGAACUGUUCAUUUGAUAGCAAUAACCACAGGAAAAAAGUAGUUUUCACUGUGCCUUAAGAAAAACUACACUUCCAGAGUGUCAGGUGUCCUGGACUUCUGGAAUAGUUCUCUCAAUUUUCUAAAUCUGUGGGCCAAGAGACACAGUAUAAAAAAUAAAUGAUUAUAUAUAUAUAACAUUAUUUUUAUAUGAUAACUCAAUUACCCCUAGAAACCAUUGAAUGAUUCUUAACAGAAUCACACCUGUAUGCUGCCUAUAUAGGGUAUUUUCUGAUCCAGCAGUGAUAUAAACUAUCACUGUUGCGGGUACCUUUUUUCCACUGACUAUAUGGAUAUGCAUCCAUGGCUGUGACUCCUGAGUAACAGGUUCCAAAUACGGAGAAUAGUGCAUGUAUAUCCAAGGACACAGCCUAGUAAAGACAGAGCCUGCUGGAUACAGUUUGUGAACUGGUUUGGUUUUUUUUCCUUAAGUAACACCCCCUCUCUAAAGCCUCAGCUAACCUGUACAAUCACUGCUAUUUUUAAACAAGAUGGCCAAAGAUAAUUUUUAGAUACAAUGAUUAAAGAAAACAAAUGUUAUCUCCACACCACCCCCCACAUAAAUUGCAAGCUGUAAAUAUAAAUCAGUUUGCUUCUAGAGAAGGAAAAAAAAAUGCUGCUUUUGAACAGCUGGGCUCAGUAAGAGAUUGGUUUCCCCAUUGACUGUACUUUCCCUGCAGCCCUCAAAGCAGAUUCUGUGCUCUAAGUGCAGUAGAUACUUACAGCACUCUAUAAAUAAAUGCUACUAUGUGCAACUACUUCUGAUUAAAAACCUGUGUAA